ACUGCCCCUAGAGGCAUGGCAGGUGUGGCUGCUAUGUCACAUGUGUGACGUAGGUGUCAGAGAAGAAAAAGGCUAUGUCCAUGCUCUGUGUUCUGAUCUAUAGCCAUCUAAAUGAUCAGUAACCUAACGGU